rnacentral:rRNA from 1 species
GGUUAAGCGACUAAGCGUACACGGUGGAUGCCCUGGCAGUCAGAGGCGAUGAAGGACGUGCUAAUCUGCGAUAAGCGUCGGUAAGGUGAUAUGAACCGUUAUAACCGGCGAUUUCCGAAUGGGGAAACCCAGUGUGUUUCGACACACUAUCAUUAACUGAAUCCAUAGGUUAAUGAGGCGAACCGGGGGAACUGAAACAUCUAAGUACCCCGAGGAAAAGAAAUCAACCGAGAUUCCCCCAGUAGCGGCGAGCGAACGGGGAGCAGCCCAGAGCCUGAAUCAGUGUGUGUGUUAGUGGAAGCGUCUGGAAAGGCGCGCGAUACAGGGUGACAGCCCCGUACACAAAAAUGCACAUGCUGUGAGCUCGAUGAGUAGGGCGGGACACGUGGUAUCCUGUCUGAAUAUGGGGGGACCAUCCUCCAAGGCUAAAUACUCCUGACUGACCGAUAGUGAACCAGUACCGUGAGGGAAAGGCGAAAAGAACCCCGGCGAGGGGAGUGAAAAAGAACCUGAAACCGUGUACGUACAAGCAGUGGGAGCACGCUUCGGCGUGUGACUGCGUACCUUUUGUAUAAUGGGUCAGCGACUUAUAUUCUGUAGCAAGGUUAACCGAAUAGGGGAGCCGAAGGGAAACCGAGUCUUAACUGGGCGUUAAGUUGCAGGGUAUAGACCCGAAACCCGGUGAUCUAGCCAUGGGCAGGUUGAAGGUUGGGUAACACUAACUGGAGGACCGAACCGACUAAUGUUGAAAAAUUAGCGGAUGACUUGUGGCUGGGGGUGAAAGGCCAAUCAAACCGGGAGAUAGCUGGUUCUCCCCGAAAGCUAUUUAGGUAGCGCCUCGUGAAUUCAUCUCCGGGGGUAGAGCACUGUUUCGGCAAGGGGGUCAUCCCGACUUACCAACCCGAUGCAAACUGCGAAUACCGGAGAAUGUUAUCACGGGAGACACACGGCGGGUGCUAACGUCCGUCGUGAAGAGGGAAACAACCCAGACCGCCAGCUAAGGUCCCAAAGUCAUGGUUAAGUGGGAAACGAUGUGGGAAGGCCCAGACAGCCAGGAUGUUGGCUUAGAAGCAGCCAUCAUUUAAAGAAAGCGUAAUAGCUCACUGGUCGAGUCGGCCUGCGCGGAAGAUGUAACGGGGCUAAACCAUGCACCGAAGCUGCGGCAGCGACACUGUGUGUUGUUGGGUAGGGGAGCGUUCUGUAAGCCUGUGAAGGUGUACUGUGAGGUAUGCUGGAGGUAUCAGAAGUGCGAAUGCUGACAUAAGUAACGAUAAAGCGGGUGAAAAGCCCGCUCGCCGGAAGACCAAGGGUUCCUGUCCAACGUUAAUCGGGGCAGGGUGAGUCGACCCCUAAGGCGAGGCCGAAAGGCGUAGUCGAUGGGAAACAGGUUAAUAUUCCUGUACUUGGUGUUACUGCGAAGGGGGGACGGAGAAGGCUAUGUUGGCCGGGCGACGGUUGUCCCGGUUUAAGCGUGUAGGCUGGUUUUCCAGGCAAAUCCGGAAAAUCAAGGCUGAGGCGUGAUGACGAGGCACUACGGUGCUGAAGCAACAAAUGCCCUGCUUCCAGGAAAAGCCUCUAAGCAUCAGGUAACAUCAAAUCGUACCCCAAACCGACACAGGUGGUCAGGUAGAGAAUACCAAGGCGCUUGAGAGAACUCGGGUGAAGGAACUAGGCAAAAUGGUGCCGUAACUUCGGGAGAAGGCACGCUGAUAUGUAGGUGAAGUCCCUCGCGGAUGGAGCUGAAAUCAGUCGAAGAUACCAGCUGGCUGCAACUGUUUAUUAAAAACACAGCACUGUGCAAACACGAAAGUGGACGUAUACGGUGUGACGCCUGCCCGGUGCCGGAAGGUUAAUUGAUGGGGUCAGCGCAAGCGAAGCUCUUGAUCGAAGCCCCGGUAAACGGCGGCCGUAACUAUAACGGUCCUAAGGUAGCGAAAUUCCUUGUCGGGUAAGUUCCGACCUGCACGAAUGGCGUAAUGAUGGCCAGGCUGUCUCCACCCGAGACUCAGUGAAAUUGAACUCGCUGUGAAGAUGCAGUGUACCCGCGGCAAGACGGAAAGACCCCGUGAACCUUUACUAUAGCUUGACACUGAACAUUGAGCCUUGAUGUGUAGGAUAGGUGGGAGGCUUUGAAGUGUGGACGCCAGUCUGCAUGGAGCCGACCUUGAAAUACCACCCUUUAAUGUUUGAUGUUCUAACGUUGACCCGUAAUCCGGGUUGCGGACAGUGUCUGGUGGGUAGUUUGACUGGGGCGGUCUCCUCCUAAAGAGUAACGGAGGAGCACGAAGGUUGGCUAAUCCUGGUCGGACAUCAGGAGGUUAGUGCAAUGGCAUAAGCCAGCUUGACUGCGAGCGUGACGGCGCGAGCAGGUGCGAAAGCAGGUCAUAGUGAUCCGGUGGUUCUGAAUGGAAGGGCCAUCGCUCAACGGAUAAAAGGUACUCCGGGGAUAACAGGCUGAUACCGCCCAAGAGUUCAUAUCGACGGCGGUGUUUGGCACCUCGAUGUCGGCUCAUCACAUCCUGGGGCUGAAGUAGGUCCCAAGGGUAUGGCUGUUCGCCAUUUAAAGUGGUACGCGAGCUGGGUUUAGAACGUCGUGAGACAGUUCGGUCCCUAUCUGCCGUGGGCGCUGGAGAACUGAGGGGGGCUGCUCCUAGUACGAGAGGACCGGAGUGGACGCAUCACUGGUGUUCGGGUUGUCAUGCCAAUGGCACUGCCCGGUAGCUAAAUGCGGAAGAGAUAAGUGCUGAAAGCAUCUAAGCACGAAACUUGCCCCGAGAUGAGUUCUCCCUGACUCCUUGAGAGUCCUGAAGGAACGUUGAAGACGACGACGUUGAUAGGCCGGGUGUGUAAGCGCAGCGAUGCGUUGAGCUAACCGGUACUAAUGAACCGUGAGGCUUAACCUU